ensembl:lncRNA
CGCAAAUGGAAAGAAGGAUUCUCAGACGAGACUCGCGAAAGCCCCGCAGCCACCAUUUAACUGCGCCCGCACAGCAGUUACGGUUUGACACCCGACCCUCCCCUCCCGGACGGCCUCCUUUGUCCCCAGUGGGCCCCGAGGCUCUGCCCGCUCCGGGGUUCUCCUUAGCUGGAUGCACGCUGUGCUCCGGGCAGCGAGGGCGCCGGGCACGCGUCCGCGCACACCGCACGCACGCAAGACUAAUUUUCUGGAGUUUCUGCCCCUGCUCUGCGUCAGCCCUCACGUCACUUCGCCAGCAGUAGCAGAGGCGGCGGC